CUGAUCAUCAGUGAGCCAAGCCUGGAAGCCUGAGCCAUCACCAGCUGGGUGGUAGCCAGCUGUGGCUCAGGGCCACUCUAGAAACACUUGCCUUGGGCUGCAGCUGCCCUGGGCUACCACCCUGAUCCCUAGGAAACAGGGCAUGGGGCAUUCUCCUGAACAGAGCCCUUGCCAAUGCCCAGCAAGAAACCAGUGACAUCAAGCUGAGUCCUUGAAGUGGUUGGAGGGACAAAACAGAAUUCCUGGAGACAGUGUCCUAAGGGAGUGCCAGAGUCACUCAUUUGUUUGACAACUAAUUUUGGAGGCAGGUGCUCUUCCUUGUCUUAGGAUCUU
rnacentral:lncRNA from 1 species